UAACCUGAUCUUAGCUCCAACUAACAUUUUAUUAAAAUGACCUUUAGCUAUCACUUCUUUAAAAUUCAGGGCCUCGCAUAGGCUAUUUGUUAAAUGAGUUUCAUGCAAAGGAUGAACUUAACCUUCUGGUUAAUACUGGGAGUUAAAUAAUCAAACUGUCUUCUACAAGCAUCAGGUUCAGUGAGUUAUUUUUUUUAUCUUAUUUUCGCAGUUUGUUGAAUUAACCUAUUCAUCAAAAAACAGAAUAGCUGC
rnacentral:lncRNA from 1 species